UCUGUGAUAUUAACCACCUUUAGGUUUGGCGUAGCCUACCACUCCCACCCGUAAAUUUCCUGCCGUCCUCUCUGUUUUAAUUUUAGGCCGGAAGGACAAUGUUUAUAUUCAACGAGAAGCUAAAAAUAUUAAAUUAGUUUGGUAUUAAAAAUUGUAGGAUUUACAAGACUUAAAUAACUUUAUCGGCUAACCUUUGUUCCUAUAUAUGCGGUUAAGUCUUGUGUACUAUAAGAAUUCUGAAUGAUAUUUAAAGUGCAGGUAAAUUUAUUUGAAUUGACUGUUAUUAGGCGUAGGUGCAGGAAAAUUUAUUUCUUGAUCCUGCUAAAGCUCAGAUCAUGCCUUUAUUUUGUACCGCUGUGUUUAUACGUUUUAAGCCUUGGAAGAAAGAUUGGCAAUGGCUGGAAGUAUGCGAUAGAAAGGAACAACGCAAAA